CACAGCUUCAGUGACAUUGUCUCUCUUAAUUCUAUAUUACCAAAGACAGCACAACUGGCAAAAUAUUUGCCCAUAUUUGUCACCCUUGGUUCAUAAGAAAUACAAACAUUAUAGAAUAAAAAUUCUUGGUGACAGGAAAUACAAAAAUCACAAGAAGGUUUCCUCAGAAAAAUGGUGUCCACAGAUUAAAGCAAAACAUUUGAGAUACUAGCCAAGCGUGGUGACUUCAAAGCUUGUUCUGGGCACAGCUGUGAAUCUGCUUUAGGUAUAAAGCUUGCAAGGACUGGAGCAUCCUGAAAACAUUCCAGAGUAACUUCCCAGUUUGACAAAAAGUAAUUAAGAGCCCUGAAAAGGAGAAUAGUUUGAAACCUGAAGCCUAGAAAUUCAUUUCUAAGAUGUUCCUUUCUUGGGGAACCUUUUCUCAGACAAAAGCACGACUGGACACUCUUUACAUUUUGUUCAGGAACUGAGUUUAGUAAACUAUGAAUGUUCAGAUGGAGGCAGAAUGGCAGACGUAGAUGGAUUCUAAUUUGUAAAUGCGCUAAACAGCAAAGAUCACACCAGUCACACCCGGUGUCCUCUCCUUUAGGUUUUGCUGCACGGAUGACUCGCCACCUCUCCAUCUCUUUCAUUACUUUUGGUCAAGUUGCAUCAAGGCUGCUUCAUUAUCAUCUUCCAUCUAACUGCUCACAUUCUGAGACCUCUUCAAUAUGCUCCAAGGAUGACACUUCUGCUAUAAAUAGACUGGGGUGCAGAGUGAAGUAUUAUUCAGAAUUUGACAUUUCACUACAAACACAAUAUACUUUUGUACUGACGUGGAACAAAUGCUACGCCCCUUUUGUGCAUUCCCAUGAAUUCCUCUCUUCUUUCCUUUGUCUCGGGGAUGCCAUUUUUUCCUUCUACCAAGCUCAAAAGUUAUUGUCCAUGUUGUCUGUGCCCAGCAUAUACCUACUAAGAUUUGCAAGCUUCUUUUUCGACAUGGAUCCCUUCCCUGCCAAAUGGUGUAGCCAGUGAGCUUGAGAGAGGACUACAAGUUUACAAAGAAGAGAACAGAAUUUAACAACAAUGCAAGCAUUCCUUUUCUUUCUUACUUUUUGUUUAGGAUACACGAGAAGGUAAGGAUGGAACAUCUGACUUUGGGUUCAGAACAACGAAUAAUUAUUUUGAUAGCUUAUUCCAAACCACCACAUGUAUCUCCUGGGAAAGCUAUGCUCAGCUUCAAAUUUCGUAAUAGGGGUUCUCACAAGUCUGAUCUUUAUAAAUCUGAUUCUUACAAGGACUGUUUCAGGUUGAGCUGGAUCAAUAAAACAAGACCAGCCCAUAAGAUUUCUGAAUUU
rnacentral:lncRNA from 1 species